UCGGAGACCAUCCCCUUCCCACGUCGGUGAUCUCAGUGCCUGCCCUCCCCUUCCUUCCGCGGAACCCCUCCCUGAGCAGCAGCAAGCGCGCUGGCUUCCCAAGGAGAGAUGAUGGAUCCGUGGUAGCAGGUGGUGCAAACGGCGGCGAGAAACGACCCUGGGGACCCCAGUCCGAGAGUCCUAAGGGCUCCAGUCAGAGCAAAGGUCCUGGUCUGGGUUGCUGGCAUGUUCACUCUUCAGGGUAAACUGAGAAUAAAUUCAAAGACAAAUCACCAAAGGCAGCGCCAUGACAAUAAUGUGAGGCGGAAUUAGGGUCAACAGGGUCAUUGUGAGGCUGACGGCUGGUCUCAGGCAACUCUCAAGUUCUGCAACACUUUUGCCAAGAUGAAUUCAGAGUAAGAUAGAC